UACGGAGGGUGCGAGCGUUGUUCGGAAUCACUGGGCGUAAAGGGCGUGUAGGCGGUCCGCUAAGUCUGAUGUGAAAGCCCGGGGCUCAACCCCGGAAGUGCAUUGGAAACUGACGGACUCGAGUCCCGGAGAGGAGGGUGGAAUUCCUGGUGUAGCGGUGAAAUGCGUAGAUAUCAGGAGGAACACCGGUGGCGAAGGCGGCCCUCUGGACGGUGACUGACGCUGAGACGCGAAAGCGUGGGGAGCAAACAGG
rnacentral:rRNA from 1 species